rnacentral:rRNA from 1 species
GAUGAACGCUGGCGGCGUGCUUAACACAUGCAAGUCGAACGAGGCUUUUUGAGUUCAGCUUGCUGAACCCAAAGAGACCUAGUGGCGGACGGGUGAGGAACACGUAAGAACCUACCCCUAGGAGGGGGACAACAACUGGAAACGGUUGCUAAUACCCCAUAUGCUGAGGAGUGAAAAGGUGAAAACCGCCUAGGGACGGGCUUGCGUCUGAUUAGCUUGUUGGUGAGGUAAAUGCUUACCAAGGCGACGAUCAGUAUCUGGUUUGAGAGGACGAUCAGACACACUGGAACUGAGACACGGUCCAGACUCCUACGGGAGGCAGCAGUGGGGAAUUUUCCGCAAUGGGCGAAAGCCUGACGGAGCAAUACCGCGUGAAGGAAGACGGCCUAUGGGUUGUAAACUUCUUUUUUCANGGAGGAAUUCAAUGACNUGUACCUGAA